GCCAGUGUGGUGUAGCAGUUUGCACACUGGGCUAUGACUCUGAAGACCAGGGUUCAAAUCCCCACUCAGUCA